AAACGACUCUCGGCAACGGAUAUCUCGGCUCAUGCAUCGAUGAAGAACGUAGCAAAAUGCGAUACUUGGUGUGAAUUGCAGAAUCCCGUGAACCAUCGAGUUUUUGAACGCAAGUUGCGCCCGAAGCCAUCCGGUUGAGGGCACGCCUGCCUGGGCGUCACGC
rnacentral:rRNA from 2 species